rnacentral:rRNA from 1 species
GAUGAACGCUGGCGGCGUGCCUAAUACAUGCAAGUCGAGCGAACAGACGAGGAGCUUGCGCCGCUGACGUUAGCGGCGGACGGGUGAGUAACACGUGGAUAACCUAUCUAUAAGACUUGGAUAACGUCGGGAAACCGGAGCUAAUACCGGAUAAUAUAUUGAACCGCAUGGGUCAAUAGUGAAAGACGGGUUUGUUGUCACUUAUAGGUGGAUCCGCGCCGCAUUAGCUAGUUGGUAAGGUAACGGCUUACCAAGGCAACGAUGCGUAGCCGAACUGCGAGGGUGAUCGCCCACCCUGGAGCUGGGACGCGGUCCCGGCGCCUGCGGGAGGGCGCAGUAGGCAACCGGCGGCAAUGGGCGAAAACCUGACGGAGCAGCGCCGCGUGAGUGAUGACGGUCUUCGGAUCGUAAAGCUCUGUUAUUAGGGGAAAACAAAUGUGUAUGUAGCUGUACCCAUCUUGACGGUACCUACUCAGGAAGCCCCGGCUAACUACGUG